GCUACCUGUCCACGUCCCUCUCUCAGUUGAAUGACUUCUUUGGUCUCCCUUUCUUCCCUCCAGCAGACAGAUUCCUGUGGCUUUUCCCUAGGAGAGUGACUGAGGAGAAAAGAAAGUUUGAGCAGUAGAGAACCUCAGAGGCCAUCUGGAGUUGCACCUCUGUGAAUAUGAGAAGUCUGCCGCCCAUGCUGUGUGGUCAUGUGACCAGCUCCAUGGCGGUAGAUUUAAACAUUGCAUGAAUAUUAUUUUGUAUCUUUGGAAAGACUUUGUUUAUGAAAGAAGCACUCAAAAAGGGCCUGGGGAAGCCGGGCAUGGUAAUCCAGUGGCCUAUAAUCCCAGUGGCCUGGGAGACUGAGACAGGAGGAUUGGGAGUUCAAAACCAGCCUCAGCAACUUAAUGAGGCCCUAAGCAACUCAGUGAGACCCUGUCUCUAAAUAAAAUACAAAAAGGGAGUGAGGACGUGACUCAGUGGUUAAGUGCCUCUGGGUACAAUCCCCAGUACAAAAAAGGGUGGUGGGGGGGGACAUGUUCUGUACUAUUCUAGGGCUGCUGGAUUGGCUUUAGAAUGUGAGGAUUUAGAAGACGAAACUCAAAGUAGAUAAAAUUUUUUUGUUUUUAAAGAAAGGUUAUCAUCAGAAAGUUAUGUCACUUGUUCAAAAUCCUGGGGAAUCAAAUAUGGGAGGAAUGAAUUGAGUGAAAGGUAAAUUCAUAAGAAGGGAUAGAAUUUUCUCUUGGAACAUGGUAACUAUUUUAAGAAACUGUACACCAGAACACCAGUUGGGUAAGAAACGUUGGAUAAGGAGUACUCUUUCGUUCCUUUUGGCUGUGCUGGGGUUUGUACCCAGGGCCUUAUAUACCCUAGGCAAGUGCUUUAUCACUGAGCUACAUCCCUAGCCCACAGUUGAACUCUUAAAUAAGGAGAGAUGAGCCAGAUGAGGUGGUGUAUACCUGUAAUCCCAGUGGUUCAAGAGGCUGAGGCAGGAGAAUCGUGAGUUCAAAGCCAGCCUCAGCCAAAGUGAGGUGCUAAGCAACUCAGUGAGACCCUGUCUCUAAAUAAAGUACAAAAUAGGGCUGGGGAUGUGUCUCAGUAGUGGAGUGCCCCUGUGAUCUGAUAUGUUAAUGUGAUAUGAUAUGUGAUAAAGAUAUGUUCUCAGUGGCUUCAGAGUAGGUCUGGAGAAAAUAAGAGCCAAUCAAACCUGGUACUCCCACUCACCCCGCCGCCCCCCCCCCACACACACACAAAAAUAGGAGAGAAGUGAUGAAUUCCUUUUGAAAGAAAGAAUGUGAAAAAAAAAGCAAGCAUGUCUAUCAUUUGGAGGAGCUAUGUAUAACACCAAGUGGGAGAAACAUAGAGAAGGGGAAAAAGAAAAUCAGAGAAAGGUCACUGAUGGAUAAUAAGACCUUGUGAAUUAGGGUUCUUUUGUGUAAUUGAACAAAGCUGGAGAAAAAGUUGUUAGAAGAAUGCUUUUGGCUGUACAGCAUUUGCAUAUUAGCAUAUUAGAGAACAAGUCUUUACUUCAUGUCCCUUCAUCAUAAAAUAAACAGAAGAUCCCCUUAUAGCUCUAAGUCCAGGACAAAGACAAAGAUAUUAACCAUUGCUUUCUGAGGGAUCACACAGAGAGAAUCUUCUCACUGUGCCGUCACCUUUCUGCAUUAAAGUGGGAGCUUUGGUUGUGGAUUCAUAACCUCUGUAGGGCAAACUGGUCAGACCACAGUCCAGUAUUUAAUGCUCCUGGUGUUUCUCUAAGAUACUAGACCUGGCUAGGGCUCAAGGUUUACACAAAUGUGUGACUUCGCUUUCUUCUGGCCACCAUUUGUUUUCUAGUUUAUUUGUCCUUGGUCCAUAUGAUGCCAAGCAAUUGGUUUGACUGGUUUUUGUUUCACUAAAUGGAUGAGACUGACCUCUUUGGUGUCCUGGGGAGACAGACCCCAGACUGGGGCACAUGGCUCACAGAGGGAACCAGGCUCCUUUUUCUUGAAGACCAGUUUGAGUGUGACUGUCUGUUUGAGGUAUUUUGAUAUUGCAGACCUGUAAAGAUAUGUUCUCCGUGGCUUCAGAGUAGGUCUGGAGAAAAUAAGAGUCAAUCAAACCAAAACUAGACUAGAGGCACUAGAAACUGGGAUUUAGGAACAGACCCCAGAAGGCAUGUAGCUCUGAAGCAGAACACUCAGGUGCUGUGGGGUCUUAGAGGGCGCUGAUAUGAUCCAGGCCAACCCCAGGGUCAUGGGCAACUGUAGGCAGAGCAGGGUCUGUGAGAGAAACCAGGUCCCAGGCAGGCUGAGAGUCUGGCAGUCUGGGCCUGCUCCAGUGCCUGUCAAUAGGGGACAACAGACAUCCGUAGGUCACAUUGGAAAAGGGCUGCCAGUUAACUUAGGUUCCUACGUGUCCAAAUGUGGCGUUCUGUUUGCAUGGCAUGUUUAGCUAUCCCAUGUUAGUGGCUACCCCACCAACCCUGAGUCCAACUGCUGACAGGUGCUUGAUGCUGAAUUUUAUAGUUACUACAGUUCUAACUAGGACAAGUUGGCCCAAUCCAUUUGCUAGUUAU
rnacentral:lncRNA from 1 species